GAUGAACGCUGGCGGCGUGCCUAAUACAUGCAAGUCGAGCGAACAGACGAGGAGCUUGCUCCUUUGACGUUAGCGGCGGACGGGUGAGUAACACGUGGAUAACCUACCUAUAAGACUGGGAUAACUUCGGGAAACCGGAGCUAAUACCGGAUAACAUGUUGAACCGCAUGGUUCAACAGUGAAAGACGGUCCUGCUGUCACUUAUAGAUGGAUCCGCGCCGCAUUAGCUAGUUGGUAAGGUAACGGCUUACCAAGGCAACGAUGCGUAGCCGACCUGAGAGGGUGAUCGGCCACACUGGAACUGAGACACGGUCCAGACUCCUACGGGAGGCAGCAGUAGGGAAUCUUCCGCAAUGGGCGAAAGCCUGACGGAGCAACGCCGCGUGAGUGAAGAAGGUCUUCGGAUCGUAAAACUCUGUUAUUAGGGAAGAACAAAUGUGUAAGUAACUAUGCACGUCUUGACGGUACCUAAUCAGAAAGCCACGGCUAACUACGUG
rnacentral:rRNA from 1 species